AGUGAACGCUGGCGGUAGGCCUAACACAUGCAAGUCGAACGGCAGCACAGUAAGAGCUUGCUCUUACGGGAGGCGAGUGGCGGACGGGUGAGGAAUACAUCGGAAUCUACUUUUUCGUGGGGGAUAACGUAGGGAAACUUACGCUAAUACCGCAUACGACCUACGGUUGAAAGCAGGGGAUCUUGGGAGCUUGCGCGAUUGAAUGGGCCGACGGGAGAUUAGCUAGGGGGCGAGGGAAAGGCGCACCAAGGAGGCGAUCCGUAGGGGGUCUGAGAGGGUGAGCCCCCACACUGGAACCGAGACACGGACCAGACUCCUACGGGAGGCAGCAGUGAGGAAUAUUGGACAAUGGGUGAGAGCCUGAUCCAGCCAUCCCGCGUGAAGGACUAAGGACCUAGGGUUUGUAAACUUCUUUUAUACAGGGAUAAACCUACUCUCGUGAGGGUAGCUGAAGGUACUGUAUGAAUAAGCACCGGCUAACUCCGUG
rnacentral:rRNA from 1 species